CCCAUUUCCCCUGACUCAGAGAUUCAGGUCAAUGUUACAGAAUGGUAUCGACUUGAGCACUGUCGAUGUUAGCUAUGUGCGCAGCCGUUCAUGCAAUUGAAUUGAUGACACACAAAGAAUGACGCAAAUGGGUGUAUUUGGUUUUGAUGCAUAAAAGAGUUUGAGCGCUGAGAAGGAUGGUCUUGACAUUAUUCAACAUGGAUGGGCUUUACCGCAAUUUGAGCACCGCGCAGACACCGUU